AAAGUGGACGCAGAUUGAAACUUAGCGCGAAACCGCUUAAACGAAGAGGAACAGCGUUAAUUCAAUACUGGGCUUCCAAAAGGGGCAGAGGCAGAAGUGAAGCUCAGACCGAAGAGUAUAAUGACUCCGAAAAUUCUACGAUAAAUACGGCCUCUGACGCAGAUUUCGUCGCUGAAGAAAGCAAUGUCUGUGACACUUGUCCAGAAAACAAAGACG